rnacentral:lncRNA from 1 species
GGUGUCUGCACCUUUGGGCUUCUCUCCAAGUUAGAAGUUUCCUCCUGCUCUCUGUUCCUCCAGGAUGACGUUGGCAGCUCCCUGGACAAGGAAGACCAGCAGAAGAUGUCAACCCAGAGUUCAAAUCAAACAGAUGGGGCGUCUAGAAAACGCACGCUGUGGUCUUUUCCUACGUGUGUUACAGAACUCUUGCAAGGCGCCCACCCUCUGCACAAUGGACAUUUAUGGCUGAGUCCUUCUUAAAGGGGGGCUGUUCUGUGCACUGUGGUGUGUAUAGCAGCACCCCCACCUCCACCCAGCAUGUCUCCUCCCCUCCCCCUGGGUGGUAAUAACCGCAAAUGUUUCCAGACAUUGUCCCCUGGGGGCAGAGAUCACCCUGGCCGGGUUGAGAACCACAGAUUUGGGGAGCGUAGACGUCAUAAACGGAGAAGGCAAUGGCACCCCACUCCAGUACUUUUGCCUAGAAAAUCCCAUGGACAGAGGAGCCUGGUAGGCUGCAGUCCAUGGGGUAGCUAGAGUCGGACACGACUGAGCAACUUCACUUUCACGCAUUGGAGAAGGAAAUGGCAACCCACUCCAGUGUUCUUGCCUGGAGAAUCCCAGGAACGGGGGAGCCUGGUGGGCUGCCAUCUAUGGGUCGCACAGAGUCGGACACGACUGAAGCGACGCAGCAGCAGCAGCAGCAGCAGCAGCAGCAGACGUCAUAAACACACAAGUUGUAAGGUUCCUCGAGCCACGCUGAUCGACUCCCACACUGAGGCUGGGAACCCACAUGGGCCAGGAUGUCCAAUCAGCUCAGUUUGGAGGGACUACGGGAAGAGGCCCAUUCCAAGCACACCAUCCAGGAAGGAAAGUGAGGGAUGGGCAGAGAGCCAGAAGUUACGCCGAUGCACCCUUUCACCCGGAAGAAGUCCUGAGGGGCUUCCCACAGUCACCCUCUACCGGCCUUGCCAGGAGCCACUGCUGACACAGGUCCUUGCCUGCAGUCACCUGGAAAACUCCUUUAUGUGAAAGCUGAGCCCUGUCUGUGCUGGACCAGAUUUACGGAAUGGAAAGGGGAGACUCCUGGUCACUUCAGAGUGCUCUGGGGAGGAUGAUGGGAUAUAUAAUAAAAGUGGGCUAUACCUGCUAAGUUAGAUGUUC